AAGGUACAAACAUAAGAGUUGCAACAGUACACAAUGCAACUUGCCACAGGCACCACCCCGUGAUUCUUCAGGAGUGGUAACAUGAAUAUUACAUAAUGAAUAGAAGAGAGAAAAGAGACAACCGUACAUUUGACAAUAACCACUAAUAAUAAAUAAACAAGUAAUUAACAAAUUGUUUCCUUUAGUCGUGAGCUUCCUAAUAAACAUCCACCCUUCACCCUCCACCCACCUCCCGCUCACCUGGGAGGGGGGGGCGAAGGCAUCAGCUCCCCUUGAGCUUUUGUUCUGGCCAGCAGUUAACUAAUUUCUCUAAUCUGACUGUGGGUAAUCCAUUCAUCAAAUCUCGUGGAAUACCCUUUCUCCAGCCCAGAGUCCAAAGUCCAUUGCGUUUAUGAUCAAUGCAUCGUGUCCCCGUUUUUCCUGGGGAUGAAACCUUUUUGGUUCCAAUAAGUUUUGGGCUAGGUGGCCUGGAGGCAAGGCUGGCUACUGCAAGCCUUACUCCUCUUGGCUCAAAUUUACUGGAGGUAGAAACCACCGGCCCAUAUUUUCUUCCAUAGUUAAUUAAUUCUUGGGCAACCUCUCCCCAAGUCCACACUUUGGAUCCUGACUGGUGGUUAGGGGCUACAGAUCCCUCCAACGCUGCCCAGGUUCUCUCUCCCUGAGACAUGGCUUGUAUCUUUCCUUGGAGUUGUAUACCUAUAGGUUUUAACGAUUCAGGAAGUCCCCUAAUUAGAGGUGUCAAUCUCUCCGGAUUAACAGGUAACAUCAUGGGUGAUUCAUGAUGUGGCUGCAACUUUCUAUCAUACAUCAUUUGGAGACACGCAGCUUUCUGAACAUUCUCCACUAACUGGUCGAUAGUUCCGGUAAUAGCAAGAGGGUCCCCCCUUUCUAAAGGGUUGAGACCCCCUGCCCAAUAGGCAGCCCUCUGUGUUAAGGACCAGGGAGCACGAUUAUUGCCGGUGGUUAAAAAUACUCCUGGUCCCCAAUAACCUUCAGCUUCUUUCUCUGUUAGUAGGAUCUGGUCUCCGCCAGUGAGACUAACUCUCCAGACGUACUCUGUUUCAGACUCCUUUGGGGAGCGACUGAAAUCCUUUUUCAGUUUGGCCAGUUCAGUGGCUGAAAAGGGAAUUUCCUUAACAUUCAUUUGAGGAUCUAGAUCCUCACUGUUAUCGAAAGUAUAUUCAGUUUUUAUCAAAGGACGAAUGUGUGCUGGAGAGGCCUCUAAUUUAUCUAGCCUUUCCUUCACCUCUUGUAAUUUCCCUUGAGGAUAAACUUUUUCUUGAGGUGCACUGUGGGCGACAGUGUCACCGGUGUCCUUACACGUUAUCAGCUCCUUAAAAGCUGUUUGCAACAGAACCGAAUUAUGUUUUUCUCUUUCUAAUUGAUCCUCAAGACUCGUUAUUUGGCUUUGCAGAGAUUUUACCAAUUCUUGCGUCACUUUAACCGAUUCCUGUAAUGCUUGAAUAGUCUGGGUUUCCGUAGAGUUCUUUUCCUCUCGGAACUCCACAGCUGCUUUUAAAGCAGCACCGAGUACUGCACAAAUAAAAGAUUUCCCUUUUCCGGCCCGAGUACGAGCCUCAUUUUGUAAAACACGAAUACGGUCUGAAACACUUUGCAAAUUAUACCAGUUCUGUCGUGCCCAAUCCACCCCUGAUACAGAAGGCCGAGCACCAUGCUUUUCUAAAAGAUCAAAUAAUACACCUUCACUUUUCAUACUGGCCAUACUGUUGCUCAUUUCUAAAUACGCAGAAAGAUAUACACUGAGAGAGGAGGAGGUACUCCUAUUCAAAAGUACAAAUAACUCCUUAUCGCCUCUCCCACAGAGGCACACCACACCUAAAGAAAUGUAAAUGUUCCGAUCGUGCCUCCCUUUGUUGAGGAAAGCACAAGGACAAAGAGGCUAAACCAACUUAAAAUCGCUCCCAACUUCCCUGCGAAGCCACACAAAAAACUGCAAACACCACACCAAAGCAAGGCACACUUCGGUUUCAAAACCCGCAGUUAAUUUUAAGCUAAAACAACACUUUCUAGGAUUCAACAAAGUGAAUAAACUUCUUGGAGAGGCGCACACGUUUUUUAAGUCAAAAAACGUGUAUCACUUCCUCACUUCUCCAAGAGGCACGCACGAAAGAGGUUCAAAUUUCACACUUAAGUUGCAAGAUCCUUAAGUCACAAAAUGCAGAGAGAUCUUCCCGAGGAGGCACACACGUAUUAAAUGCAAUUAGACAAGAUUCAUACGUCCUCGAGAGGUACACACAUAAAUAGUAAAGUUUCAGAGUAUGAAGCGAUCUUCCUGGAGAGGUGCUCACGUCUAAGUUAUCAAAAAGUAUCGCUUCUUGCAACUCCAGGAGGUACACACAGAAAGUUUCAGACUAUUAUCUGGAAGGACAACACUCUCACGGCGGGUAUCCUGCUUCGACUACGCCAUAAAAAAUGUCUCGCUCCAAUUUAUAGGAGGGAGAAGAGGUUCUUUGAAAUAUGUAUGCCCGGCGUGAGAUUAAGAAACAGCGGUUCAAAUGUUGGUCCGACCAGUUUAUUACAAAUGUUAAUAAGGGAGAUGGGGAAAGGGGAGGACGGACGCUAUUAAGGAUUGGGGUGAUGGGGAAGGGAAGGCGAGCGAUAGAAAAGAUAGAAAGAGGCAAGAAUUGCGUAAAGCGGGGAUAGUCACCACCAGGAUCCGGCAGCAGUCCCGUUGCACGAUGUUCCGACGGUCCGAGGCCGAAGGGCAGGAGCAGCGAGGCCGGUCUGGGGCAGCGAGAGGAUGCAGGUCAGGGAGGAAGCAGCAGGUCUCAGGUAGCAGGCCCAGGGAAGUCCGUCAGCAAACGGUCCGUAGAGGAGGAUCGGAAGGCAGGAAGCUCGUGUCGUGGUGAGAGAUCAGUCUCCACGUAGAGAUCCGUCUACCCAUUGCGGUGAGAGAUCAGUUGGCAGAGAACCCCUCAAGUCUGUCGUGGUGAGAGAUAAGCCUCUCCCGUUGCCGUGGUUGUGGUGAAGGAUCAGCUUCC
ensembl:lncRNA